AUGUCCCUAGCAAAGGUGGGGUGCUCUGUCACUCUGAACAGCUCCAGCUCUUUCAGGUUUGGGAAUCCCCCUGCUGUGGACAGGCCUGGGGUGUCCCUACCAGAGGUGGGGUGCUCUGUCACUCUGAACAGCUCCAGCUCUUUCAGGUUUGGGAAUCCCCCUGCUGUGGACAGGCCUGGGGUGUCCCUAGCAAAGAUGGGGUGCUCUGUCACUCUGAACAGCUCCAGCUCUUUCAUGUUUGGGAAUCCCCCUGCUGUGGACAGGCCUGGGGUGUCCCUAGCAAAGGUGGGGUGCUCUGUCACUCUGAACAGCUCCAGCUCUUUCAGGUUUGGGAAUCCCCCUGCUGUGGACAGGCCUGGGAUGUCCCUAGCAAAGGUGGGGUGCUCUGUCACUCUGAACAGCUCCAGCUCUUUCAGGUUUGGGAAUCCCCCUGCUGUGGACAGGCCUGGGAUGUCCCUAGCAAAGGUGGGGUGCUCUGUCACUCUGAACAGCUCCAGCUCUUUCAGGUUUGGGAAUCCCUUUGCUGUGGACAGGCCUGGGAUGUCCCUAGCAAAGGUGGGGUGCUCUGUCACUCUAAACAGCUCCAGCUCUCUCAGGUUUGGGAAUCCCCCUGCUGUGGACAGGCCUGGGGUGUCCCUAGCAAAGGUGGGGUGCUCUGUCACUCUGAACAGCUCCAGCUCUUUCAGGUUUGGGAAUCCCCCUGCUGUGGACAGGCCUGGGGUGUCCCUAGCAAAGGUGGGGUGCUCUGUCACUCUGAACAGCUCCAGCUCUUUCAGGUUUGGGAAUCCCCCUGCUGUGGACAGGCCUGGGGUGUCCCUAGCAAAGGUGGGGUGCUCUGGGCCUGCUGCUUUCACAGUUACUAUUUCACCAGUCGUGAUCUCAGAGGCAGGGUUUGUGGUCAGGCUGGAGGCUCAGGUUGUGCUUUGGGGCUUGGACCUGCCAGAGGCCUCUGUGGUUCAUUGGCAUCUGGGGGAUUAUGACAAGCCUCUGUCUCCACCUUUGGGUGACUUUGGGGCUGGCGCCUGA
rnacentral:lncRNA from 1 species